CCAACCAGCCAGCUAGCCCCACACAACACUGUGAGGACGGCCUGAACAGACACUUGGUGUCGCCAUUUUUCUCCCCCUCACCAGCAAUGUGGAGCUUCAGGUAACAGGACAGCAGGCCCACAGUGGAAAACAGGACCUGCCUUUGCCAAACCCUCCGUGCCUGGUGACAUAUCUACUGGACCCAACCAGAUGGCCCCUCCUCCAGACCAGCACAGCCACCAGUUCUGAGGCACCAUCGGAUAUCGGUCGCUCCUCUCUCUUCCUCUACUCGUUCCAUAAAUGUUGGACUUUCUCAAGAUUAGGUGCAGCCAGGAGGGCGAAGGAGAACUUUUACCUCCUCUACAAUGUUCAAGAACAUAGACAAAGAGGACCUGAUCUAACGGGGUGUUGAGAAAGAAUUCCUUUGGGAAAUGAAAUUGGAACUGUGACCUGAGAGAUGAGUAGCAAUCACUGUGCGGGCAGACAGUGCUUGUCACCUAAACGUUAUCCAGUUUCCCUUCCACUGUUAGUUUUAGGAACCAGAUUUUCAUCCUGGGUGGGCUCAGUGUGUGCUCCUCUGUUCUUCUGAGCACGUGUGUCAAUGGCCCACAGGCAUGGCCCCAGCUUUCAGUGUUUCACACUCCACGGGGUGGGGUCCCAUUACUGAGGCAAGAGAGGAGCGCUGGCUGGCCGGUUGCCCUGCACUGGCUCUCAGGGAAACCCCUGGCCACAGGGACUGAUGCCGCUGCUGAACCUUGCCUUGCUCUGUCUCUUCUGUCUGUGAGUAAAGUGCUGUUCCAUCCA